rnacentral:rRNA from 1 species
GACCAGGCUCCUACGGGAGGCAGCGGUGGGGAAUAUUGCACAAUGGGGGAAACCCUGAUGCAGCGACGCCGCGUGAGUGAAGAAGUGAUUCGUCACGUAAGGCUCUAUCAGCAGGAAAGAAAAUGACGGUACCUGAGUAAGAAGCCCCGGCUAACUACGUGCCAGCAGCCGCGGUAAUACGUAGGGGGCAAGCGUUAUCCGGAAUUACUGGGUGUAAAGGGAGCGUAGACGGUGAAGUAAGACUGGAGUGAAAGGCGGGGGCCCAACCCCCGGACUGCUCUGGAAACUAUUUGACUGGAGUGCAGGAGAGGUAAGCGGAAUUCCUAGUGUAGCGGUGAAAUGCGUAGAUAUUAGGAGGAACACCAGUGGCGAAGGCGGCUUACUGGACUGUAACUGACGUUGAGGCUCGAAAGCGUGGGGAGCAAACAGGAUUAGAUACCCCAGUAU